rnacentral:lncRNA from 1 species
UCCUUAUUUCUUUGCCUCAUACGUGGGUUAGGUCGGCGUGUUAAUUUUUUGGUAUCAACAACUACCAAGCAUUUUCGUAUAGUUAACGGUCAUGAAACGGAAACAAACUCAUCGCUCCAAAUAGUGCAUUGUCACUUGAUAUGUUAACUAAUUCCUAUUCGUUGGCUCCUAUUGGACAUUGAACCGUUAUGCGGAGACGGUCUUCCACUUGAUCAUAAUUAGUAACCUUUUAUAUUUCCAUCUCAAAUUCCCGAAAUGUGAUAUUGCGUUGGAUACCAACCAAUUCUUUACGGCUACCAAUGUAUCGUGGUACAUUAUCAUUUACGUCUAAAUUUUCGUCCCAAUAAAUAUAGAAAGGAACACAUUCGCCG